rnacentral:rRNA from 1 species
CUUUACUAUAGCUUUACAUUGAAUUUGAUAGUUAAAUACGUAGAAUAGAUGGGAGACUUUGAUGUAUUAAUUUAGGUUAAUACGGAGUCAUCAGUGAAAUACCAUUUUUUUAAUUUUUAAAUUCUAACUAUAUUUUAUAAAAGUAAAAAUAAAACAGUGUAUGGUGGGUAGUUUGACUGGGGCGGUCGCCUCCUAAAGAGUAACGGAGGCGUACGAAGGUAGGCUCAGUUGGUUUGGAAAUCCAACUUUUGAGUGUAAUGGCAUAAGCCUGCUUGACUGUAAGACUGACAAGUCGAACAGGGACGAAAGUCGGUCAUAGUGACCCGGUGGUUUCUGUGAGGAAAGGCCAUCGAUCAACGGAUAAAAGGUA